CAAUAUUUUAUUCUACUUCAUC
rnacentral:miRNA from 1 species